UUUUUUGCUGCCGUUUCUCGUCACCAGCCCGUCUCCUUCGUAUGGUUUUGUUCGAACCCUAUUUCUUGUCACCGAAUAUGUUAUUUUUAUCGGUUUGAUUUUGAGUGAAAAAAUCAUCAUCUGAUUUGCUAUAUGGUUAAUUCAAAGCAGGAAGGAUAAGAUUUUCGGAUCUAGAUGAAGAAAUUUCAGUCUGGCUAAGGAG
rnacentral:lncRNA from 1 species